UGUUCAACCAUUUUUCUCCUGUUGUUAUUUCGUUGACAUCAGCAUAUGUUAAGAACAAGGUUGAAUCUACACUUGGAGAACCAUAGACAUUAUUUGAAGAAGCAAAAUCAAAAUCAAAAUGUGCAUACUUUUGUAACGUAUGGUUCUAUCAUUGAUGGACUUGCUAUAAUUGACAGGCUGGAUGAACCAUAGACGUUAUUUGAAGAAGCAAAGUCAAAAUGUGUUGAUUUGAAUGUUGUGGUGUAUAGUAGUGUUAUUGAUGGGUUUGGGAAGGUGGGAAGGAUUGAUGAAGCAUAUUUAAUUUUGGACGAGUUGAUGCACAAAGGUCUGACUCCAAAAUUUGCACACACAUAUAUACCGGCAUCUUCCUCAUACUACCAAAAUCCUACAAAUAGAAUUUUAUUAUUUAUUUCCACCCAAAUUGCUCAACGUCAUUCAAACAAAUAUCCAUUUAAGUUAUUUUUUUCUAAACCUAGAACAAAACUCCAAAAGUUGGUUUAAUCAAAACUCCAAAUUCUCUGCGAGGUAUUAUUAUACUUUGAGGAUGUGGAAGCUGCAACAAGUUGGAAAGAUGAGAGGAGGAGUUAGUAGCAUACAGCUACAGCCUUUGACACUCGAGGCUUCAACCCUAGUUAAAGCAGCUGUUACUGUUGGCUUCACAUUGCCACUGUCAUGCGCAAGUGGCUGAUGGGGGAUUAGAAGUUUUAGAACAUAAAUUAACGACAAGGCAUGUCGCCCCUCCCUUGAAAUUAUUUGGGAUCUUCACCCCUUUACAGUUGCAAUUGGUAGCUUCAGCCUUGCUUUAAAGUUUGAUAGGACAUAAAUUAAGGGCAAGACAUGUCACCCCUCCCUUGAAAUUAUUUGGGAUCUUCACCCCUUUACAGUGGUUUUGUUUGUUUGUUUUAGUGGUUUUCAUGAUCAAUCAUUUUCGUUUUGGUUUUGAGUGAUAUUCAACGACCAUAAUGAUGAGAAUCUAAAGAUUCUAUGUGAUGCAUUGGGGCAAAAGCCUCCACAACCGAAAAAAACAGCCAAGGAGAUUGCAAGCAUUGUGCUUCUUUGUAGGUCAUGAUUGCUUAAGUAGGGAAUGACUUAGUGAAGACAGAUGUAAGGAAACAAACUUGGGUUUUCUUUGUAGGUGUGGAUUCUGAAGCAAAACAACAUGUGUCAAAAGAGCUAGCUAAAGUAAUUUUUGGGUGUUACAGUAACUUUGUCUCCAUUGGUUAAAGUUGUUUCUCUUUAGCUCAUGAGGAGUCCAAAUAUAAAAGGCUAGGAGAUGAGUUUGGGGGCAGUUAUCUUCAGAGAUUUGGGGAAGCAGUGAAUGAGAAUCCUCAUAGGUUGUUCUUUAUGGAAUAUUUGGAGCAAGUUGAUGACUUUUCUAAACAGGGUGUUAAGCAAUGAAUUGAAAAUGGACCUAUAAUCCUUGCUGGUAGUGAAUCUGUCUGUGCCUAUGAAGGAUGCAAUUGUCAUUUUCAUUAGUGAAUGGUUAAGUUCAGUACUAUGAACCCAUCUUUCUCGUGCAACAACUACUUCUCCACUUGUAGAUGCAGAGAGGAAACAAAAUAUUAACAACUCAGAGGACAAAUUUUCAUGCCUCUGUUUGGAUUUGAACAUCGGCAUUGAAGUUGUUGUGCAAAAAAAUGCUUGACAUACAUGGACAAACUGAUGACAUCCUACAUUUAGUUGAUAACAAAAUUCAUUUUAAAAUAUGAGGGGAAAUACUUUUCUAUAUAAGGGGAAACUGAUAUACCCUGUCAAACAAUGCUACUGUGUUGAGUUUACCUAAACAAAUCAUGGAGAAAUUUAUUUCUGGUACAACUGAUUUUCAUCACUCAAUUAAAACAUUUAGUCUUUGAUGAAAUUAGGGUCUCUACCCAAAAUGAUCAGUUUUCACUCUUUCUCUCUCUCUCUCUUUAAUUUCACUUCUCUGCAUUUUACAGUUUUACUGAUCUUGUUAUGGUGGCAUAGUCAACUGCCCCAACAACUAAUCUGUAAAGGGUAGGGUCAGAGAAUCUUUCUGAGCUUCAUUUAGAGAGUUUACAGGCUACAACCAUAGGAGAACCAAUAGGAUUUGCUUCAUCCAUUUUUGUCUUUGCUUGAAGAUCCCUAAUACACAUAUACUUAGAUGGAGUAAGUAUAUGUCAGCCAUCAGCUUGAUUAGCUGCUUCAAUUCCCAAAAAAUAAUCAACAUCUCCACGAUCUUUUAAGGAAAAUAGGUUGUUAAGCUCACAAACUAGUUUCUAAAUCAGUUUACACUCAUUUCUAAUGCUGUGAAUGGAUAUAAUUUUGUUGAACAUAUGAUAACUAUAAUGUGAUUUAUUUAAGACAGGCAUCUGCGUUCAUCGUAACAUAUCCAUUAAAUAAUGCUAUUAAUGAAGAAGGUAAUGGAACCAGAAAGGCAGUUGCUUGGGAGAAGACCUUUAUUCAGUUGGUGAAGGAUGAGCUGUUACCGAUGGUACAAUCAAGAAAUUUGACACUGGCUUUUUUAUCUGAAAGCUCUAUUGAGGAAGAAUUGAAAGUACUGCAGAUGCUAUAACUAUAUUGGUUAGCUAUCUUGUGAUGUUUGCUUACAUAUCUCUUACUUUAGGGGAUACCCUCCACCCUUUGUCUUUCUAUAUUUCAUCUAAGAUUGCAGGUGAUGCUUGGUCUUUCAGGAGUAAUUCUUGUUAUGCUGUCUAUGAUUGGAUCAGUUGGAUUUUUUAGUGUGCUUGGUGUAAAAUCUAUUCUGAUCAUCAUGGAAGUUAUCCCAUUUCUUGUCCUAGCCAAUGACAGCAGUAGAGGACGAGGAGUGAGAUUCUUUUGUGGAGCCCCCGAGCCGACGUGAUGAUGUUGAGAUUAUUUUGGGAGAGAGUUGUGUUUUGUUAAUCAACUCUUCCAUAGCUGGUUCUGUAAUUCUUUUGUUGAUAUAAGGAUGUAAAUCACAAAUUUAUUUAUAUGUACGAACAAAUUUACCUUUAAUUUUGUGAAUGAUGUGUACUGCACUACUAUACUUAUGUGUAUGCAUUUGGUUAAGUAAUA